UCCCUCUCUCCCCUUCCCUCGCUCUUCCCUCUCUCUCUUCCUUUCCCUCCCUCUUCCCUCUCUCCCUCUCUCUCUUCCCUCCCUCUCUCCCUCCCCUCCCUCUUCCCCCUCUCCCCUCUCUCUCUUCCCUUCCCUCCCUCUUCCCUCUCUUUCCUCCCUCCCUCUCCCUCCCUCUCUUCCCUCUCUCCCUUCCCUCCCUCUCUCCCUUCCCUCUCUCUCCCUCCCUCUCCCUCUCUCCUCUUCCUUCUCUCCCUCCCUCUCUUCCCUUUCUCCACUCCCUCCACUCCCCCUCCCUUCCCUCUCCCUCCACUCCCCCUUCCCUCUCCCUCCACUCCCCCUUCCCUCUCCCUCCACUCCCCCUUCCCUCUCCCUCCACUCCCUCUCUCUCUCCCUCCCUUCCCUCUCUCCCUUCUCUCUCUCCCCCCCUCUUUCUUGCUCUCUCUCCAGGUUGAGAGAAACUGAUUGUGAAAAGCAUCAUGUAACAUAAAUCACCAUAGAAACGUAGCAGAAAUCUUUUAAAUAUAGCAAUAUACAGACUAAUGUAUGAUACUUAUAAUCUCAACAUAUAUAAAUACAUACCUGUAUGAUAUAAAAUAUGACAAUGUUUGUAAUUUAUGUAUAAAAUAAUUCAGCAACAUGUUUAUUAGUAUUUUGUUGAUGUUUCCAGAAGGUUUGAUGACUUUCUAUUGGUUGAUGUUUCCAGAAGGUUUGAUGACUUUCUAUUGGUUGAUGUUUCCAGAAGGUUUGAUGACUUUCUAUUGGUUGAUAUUUCCAGAAGGUUUGAUGACUUUCUAUUAAAUAUUUAGUAAAA